AUUACAAUAGUUAAAACAUAUAAUUGAAUGUUCAAUUAAUGUGAUGGAUUCUCAUUAAAUGCGUGGUCAAACAUAUUUAAAAAUAUGAAUGUUAUAACAGUUAUGACAAGCAUAAAUUACUUUAAUUUUGGGCCAUAUUUGACUUUUGGGCCUACUUUCGGUCAACAUUUAAGAGAAGCCCAUAGUAAGGGCCUUUUCGUAAUUUUGGGGUUUUAAAACCCCAAAUAAUAUUUCACUUCCUUCUCUCCCUCAUUUUCAUUUUUUUUCUCUAGGUUUCCAAGCUUUGGUGCAUUUUCUUCUUCCCCCCUUUAGCGGUUUUAGGUUUCCUUUCAUUCUCAUUUUUCUUGUAUUGAAUGAAUUUUGUUUUCAGUUUGAUUUUCAAUUUCGUCUCUUGCUUCCACUUACGUGUCCAAUUUCGCUUUGCCCUCUUUCAUUUAUGCCCAUUUAUGUUUUCGAAGUUCAUUUACGUUUUCUAGUUCAAUUUGCAUAGUUGUGUUUAGUUUCUAAUUUCGAUUCCAGAAUUGCGUUUUCUAUUGUGCUUCGUUUGUAUUUCUUUUGUUGUUGUUCCAGUAUGAAUUCACUUUCGUUUUGCUGCUAUAAUUUUGAUUUAAUGUUGGCUUAAAGUUGCUUGGUUGGUCAUUAGCGAAAUUGCAUCGUUUCCAUGAGAUUUCUAAGUUGGAAGUGUGUUUUUGCUGCUCUGAUUUG
rnacentral:lncRNA from 1 species